rnacentral:tRNA from 1 species
CAAGAAGUAGUUUAAUUAGAACGUCAGCUUUGGGUGCUGAUGGUGAGGAGGCGUUCCUUCUUCUUGA